UACGUAGGGUGCAAGCGUUUAUCCGGAAUUAUUGGGCGUAAAGAGCUCGUAGGCGGUUUGUCGCGUUCUGCUGUGAAAACUGGAGGCUCAACCUCCAGCCUGCAGUGGGUACGGGCAAACUAGAGUGCGGUAGGGGAGAUUGGAAUUCCUGGUGUAGCGGUGGAAUGCGCAGAUAUCAGGAGGAACACCUAUGGCGAAGGCAGCUCUGUCGG
rnacentral:rRNA from 1 species